rnacentral:rRNA from 1 species
AUUGAACGCUGGCGGCAGGCCUAACACAUGCAAGUCGAACGAGUGGCGGACGGGUGAGUAAUGUCUGGGAAACUGCCUGAUGGAGGGGGAUAACUACUGGAAAAGGUAGCUAAUACCGCAUACCAUCGGAUGUGCCCAGAUGGGAUGAGCUAGUAGGUGGGGUAACGGCUCACCUAGGCGACGAGCCCUAGCUGGUCUGAGAGGAUGACCAGCCACACUGGAACUGAGACACGGUCCAGACUCCUACGGGAGGCAGCAGUGGGGAAUAUUGCACAAUGGGCGAAAGCCUGAUGCAGCCAUGCCGCGUGAGUGAAGAAGGCCUUCGGGUUGUAAAGUACUGUCGGCAGGGAGGCGUUACCCAAAGAAGAAGCAACGGCUAACUCCGUGCCAGCAGCCGCGGUAAUUC